rnacentral:rRNA from 1 species
UGGGGAAUCUUCCGCAAUGGGCGAAAGCCUGACGGAGCAACGCCGCGUGAGUGAAGACGGCCUUCGGGUUGUAAAGCUCUGUUAUAUGGGACGAACGGGUGUAUGGUCAAUACCCAUACGCCGUGACGGUACCGUAAGAGAAAGCCACGGCUAACUACGUGCCAGCAGCCGCGGUAAUACGUAGGUGGCAAGCGUUGUCCGGAAUCAUUGGGCGUAAAGGGCGCGCAGGCGGUUCGGUAAGUCGGUCUUAAAAGUGCGGGGCUUAACCCCGUGAUGGGAUUGAAACUGCCGGACUGGAGUGUCGGAGAGGAAAGCAGAAUUCCUAGUGUAGCGGUGAAAUGCGUAGAUAUUAGGAGGAAUACCAGUGGCGAAAGCGGCUUUCUGGACGACAACUGACGCUGAGGCGCGAAAGCCAGGGGAGCAAACGGGAUUAGAUACCCCGGUAGUCCUGGCCGUAAACGAUGGAUACUAGGUGUAGGGAGGUAUCGACCCCUUCUGUGCCGGAGUUAACGCAAUAAGUAUCCCGCCUGGGGAGUACGGCCGCAAGGUUGAAACUCUAAAGUGAAUUGAC